rnacentral:lncRNA from 1 species
ACUACUUUGUUGUUCUUCACAAUUAGUUGGAGCUUUCUUUGGUCAACAGCAGAUGUGACUAAGAAAAUCACGCUGUUUCACUUAGAGCAGUGGUCACCAAGUGUGGUCCUUAGGCCACACAGGUCAGCAUCACCUAGGAACUAGGAAAUGCAAGUUCUUAAGCAAUCCCACCCAGACCUACUGAAUUGGAAGUGCUGAGGAUGGGGUCCAGCAAUCUGUGGUUGAACAAGCUCUGCAGAGCUUUGCAGAACAGAUCACCAUAACAACCACCAUCCUGGGAGACAGCAAAAGAACAGAGAGAAACAUCCUUUUUAUUUGCCUGAAAAUCAAGGGACAGCAGGGAAACGGGUCUUUUCAUCAAAGCUUGUUUUGGUGUCUCCCAAGUUGGAGGGUCCAUGUGCCAAGGGACGGCAGUGGAAGAAGUCAACAUGUUUAACAGACUACACCCAAUAUGUGUGAUUUUUAGGGAUCAGGCAUCCAGGAGCAGAGCUGUGGGGCAGCAGAAUCUGUGAUGACAGAGAAUGAUGAUGUAUUUUUGCCAGCAGAUGCUUUUGCUCCUGUUUUGAUACCCCAAUAUUCGGAUGCAGAAAAGGACUCUGAGCAUUGCUGACGGGUGUGCUCUGCACACCUAUCUCUUCAGGAUCUGAAUAAUUUGGUGGAAAGACAAUGCCUUUUCUGGAAAAGGGUGUCAGGAGUUACCUUUCAUGGAAGGGUAAGCAGGAAGCAACUACAAGAUCAUCAUUUCAAAACAAUAUGAAAGCAGAAUGGGAAAUGCCAUGGCAUGCUCCCUCUUUUCAGUCUCCACAAAGAACAAUGUUCUUCCCAACCUGCCAAGACAGCCAAAUAACAAAAGAAAUACCCGUGGAGCCCACCUGAAGUGCACAGAUCUGGGGACAUUGGGAGGAACAGAGGUAGCUUAGUGACUCUACUGUCCCUACCACCCAACCUGCUAUUAGCCCUGCUGGUCCGCUCGUGUUUGAGGUCAUGAGUCAGGUUCAAAUAGCCAUGACUGGCAGAAGAUGUCAAUCACAUUUCAUUUCCAUUUUCACUUUGCUGUUUACAUUCUUUAAAUUAAUGCUUGCCCCAAUGAUUGUGAUAUUUAAAGACCAGCCUAGAAUCUAAUUGUGUAUAUGUGAAACUGUUUUCUAAACCAUAAGAUGUUAUAUAAAUACAAACCACUAUUAUUAUUAACAUUAUUACUAUUGGCUCAUCCGGAAAUACCAUAUCUUCCAUUGAGCCAAUGGUGUCAAGAGCCCCCUAGAAUUCUAAUAUAUAUUCCAGAUGGGUGCACUGAUAAUUUCUUUCAAACUCAGAUAAAGGUAAAAUGCAUGGGUUUUUAGUGCAAGCCAGGUGCCCGACGAAGAAUAUUCUGCCAGAACACUUUAGAAAUACAGUAUGCUUUUAACCUUGGGAGGUAAGGACCAGUGUGGAUUAUGACUUUACACUAAACACAGCAUUUAGUAUAUUUCUUAAGGGCAUAAUCACCUUCUAUAGAUGUUCUUGAACUAUAAAAUCUUUAUCUGUAUGCUAUCAUAAUUUAUCCUCGGACACAUCCUGUGCAAUAUUUUAUAAUGCUAGUGUAUGGUGGGCCUUUCUGGUCAAUGCAUUGGAGAACAAGGUGUGGAGUGCAACAGAAGGGCUGGAAGCGGCUUGGGGAUGCUCUGGCCUCACCCUCUUUUGCGUCAUAGCUGCACUCAUACGCAGACCCUGACCCAGGACCCAGGUCGGCUGACUUCUAAUUCAGAUCAUUUGCUGCCAGAAUUCUGCCUGUGAGUGAGAACAGCAUGAGGAUAUGAGCUUCUUGAGUCAGUCCACCUGCCCAAGUCCCAGCUCUGACCCUCUUUAGAGCUCUGAUCUCAGACCAGUUACUCCAUACCUCAAUGUCCUACGAUCUACUGUGAUCCCUACUGGACCAAGGACACCAAAUUUCGGAGAUGCUUUGGGAUUAUGUGACAUAACCAGGGGGCUGCAGGCUGACAGCCUGAGGACCAACUACUGUCCCCAGUGUGCUGAGCUUGGCACCACCCUGCUGAUACACAGGAUUUCACAUGUGGGACAAUCUUUAAGUCUGAAGAUUGUCCAUACAAAUAUGGAUUUCUAACUUCUAAUUAAAAAUCUUGUA